UAGGGAAUCUUCGGCAAUGGACGAAAGUCUGACCGAGCAACGCCGCGUGAGUGAAGAAGGUUUUCGGAUCGUAAAACUCUGUUGGUAGAGAAGAACGUUGGUGAGAGUGGAAAGCUCAUCAAGUGACGGUAACUACCCAGAAAGGGACGGCUAACUACGUGCCCG
rnacentral:rRNA from 1 species